rnacentral:lncRNA from 1 species
UUAUUAUUCAUUUUAAUUAAAUUAGUAUCAAUGAUUUAAAAACCAGAUUAAACCGAUUGAUUUGACUUAUCAGACUUUAAACUAUUCUAUCAAAUAUCUGAUUUCAAUCCAUUAAACUGAAUAAGGUUAAGAACAAUCUGGAACCGUUAAAGAUAUAAACGUUUUAAACAGAAUGACAUUUUAACAGUUAGAGCUAAUAAAUAUUUUAAACCAAAUUUUAAAUAUAAAAAUUAAAAAUAUUAGGAUUACUGUUUAGAAAAAAGAGUUAGGAAUUUGAAUUCGAACCCGACUAACAAUCGCAAAACCUAUUUCUGAUCUCGACGAAUUUCAAAAAUCCAUAUCUAAACCCGAAACUGACCAAUUUUCCGAAAUCCAAAACCGAACCCAAACCCGAAGACCGGAAUCCGAAACAAUUAUUUCUUUUUACCAUAUUUCAAAAUAUUUUAUAUUAAAUUUAAAUUUUUAAAAUAUAAAUUCAAAUAUAAUAUUAAACUUUAUAUAUGGUUCGGGUCGGAUCAAGAUGGAUAUUUAGACAAAAUCCAUAGUUGAUCCACAAAAUAAUCUCACGUUCUUGUUGUCAAAUAAUUUGAAACUUUUCUUAUAUGAAAUGCCAAAAUAUGAGAGGAAAGGUAGAGAGAAAAAAAAGAAACAAAGAGAGGGUAAAAAUUUUGAUAAUAUAGUAGAGAUAAAAUGACUAAAUUGCUUAUGUAUUAAAAGACAAAAAUAAUCUUUUUCGAGGUACUUGGUAACUUGUUACCUCUCUCAAAGUGACCUGCUAUUGCAGAUCACAAUUUUACAAAAAUUAAUUAAAUUUGAACCGUUGAAUGGGAGGGAUGAACAGUAAUGGAAAAAAAAAGUAUAGAAA